GGCCAUAUCAGCCUGAAGGCGCCCAAUCUCGUCUGAUCUCGGAAGCUAAGCAGGGUCGGGCCUGCUUAGUAUAAAAAAAAAGUAAAGUUUAAAAAU
ensembl:rRNA 5S_rRNA 5S ribosomal RNA